UUACAGCUGUGAGUCACCACGCCUGGCCCCAACCAGUAAUUCUUAGGUAAGAGAGAGAGGUGCACCAGGGAUGCUGGUAGGAAAAGGAAUUCAAGUCCUACUAAUAAUACAAUAUUAAUGCUCUCACAGAUCUAAGAGAGCUCCUAAUCAACAUUUUAUUUUCAUUUUGGGGGUAUUUGAGGCCCUAAAAGGGAAAAUGAAGAGCUAUUUGAAGUCUUGGCCAAUAACUUCAAUGAUCCAUUCUCUUCAAUCAGAACCAGUGCUUGGCCACUAGAGAAAAAGUACAUACAGUUACAAAUUGAUGGUCAAGUUGCCAACUGCCAUUUAUUGGGAAGUAUCAAUAUGGUACUUCUGUCUCUGAGCUCACCAUACUGGCUACUGGCACCAUUGAGCUCAUGAGUCAAGUUAUGGUUCUACCUGACUAGUUAUUUCACUGUUUUCUGAACAUUUUCCUCAUCCUUCGCUCUCUCACGGAAUAAUUUUCCUUGCUUCCAGUCUAAAAUGAAGCAAAAAUUAAGCCUCAAAGAAACUGUUUACCUCUGUGAGACAGUGUAGUGAAUUCUUAUAAUUUUAAGUUGCCUCAGCAUCCAUUUUGAAUACAAGUUUAAGUUUCUCAUACCAAGAGCAGCAAUCAAUUGCCCUUGACACAGUUUCAAGUUCCACAUGACACACAAAUGGCUCAAGCUAGUGGCCAGAGAUAAAACUUAGAGGCAUCCCUCCUUCCUAGCAGGCUAGACCCCUCGCUUUCUGCACCUCCUGUAAAUAGACUUUUAGGCAUUUGCCUGCAUACUUAAAGUGACCCACACCCUAUUUCCUUAUAUAUACUGCUAGUUGUCAUGUGUUGUCUCUUUCUCUUCCUGAAUUUUCAUUUCUACCUCCCAUGACCCAUGACCUGGGGCCAGAAGACUGCCCUGCGAACUCAUUGAGCACUCCCUGCCCAGAAUCUGCAGGGAUACCCCUCAUCUCCUUGGUUGACUGACAGACUUCAGUUCGGGUUGUGCUUCAAGAACCAGCACAAAUGGCACCUCCUUUAUUCAGUUAUUUACCUGAACUCCCACAAUAGAGUGAAAUUUGCACAUACCUUAAUCAGAACAAAUGGAUUUCUGUAGAUAUUCCUUGGAUUUGUUAUGGAUUUAUGCUUGUGCAUCAUGAGCCUAUUGAAGUCACCAUACCCUUUUUGGAAUGGAGAGCCAACUCUUCCAUUAUCAUGCUGCCACUCACAAAUUGCUGCCUAUGUCUUGGCCUGGGCCCUUCCUGACCUCCUCUAGACAACGGCACCCCAUCUCUCUCAGGCAAGUGUUCAUCCUCUUCUUACUUCUCCCCUGCAUCUACCUCUGGGAUUCCUUCACCGGGUCAACUCUUUCCAUUUGACAAGGCCAGUUCUUCCAGUGGGGGCUUCUAAAAUAGAGCUGAUGUGCCCUAGUGACACUGUUUUCCUCUUCAAAUGAGUCUUCUUCCCAGAAUACACAGGUGACUCAAGUUAAUGCUGGUAAGGGAUGCUCUAGAUGUGAGCAUGCUCGAACAGAAUCUGCUAGUGUAAGUGAAACCACAGCUGUCUCCAACAGUCAGUUUCCUUCUGCCAGGCUACUUCUCUUAGUGUGAUUUUUCUCUCAGGAAACUUAAUUUAUUCUCCAUCAGUUCAGCUGUCUUCACAAAGCUCCAGUUUAGUGUACAGCUAUGGGUCUGGAUUUAAGCUGUCUUUCAUGAGGCUCCAGGGCCACAUGCAAAUCAAAACAUGUGUUCGGAUAUCUGUUUGUGUUCUUUCCAAGUUUGGCCUUCUCAAAGAAUUCAGGUUAUCCCAAGUGUGGCUCAUGGAGUAAAAGCAUGCAGGGAGGUGAAAUUGAAAGCCUUUGUAGGUGCUUAGUAAGAAAACCCAUUAUGUGGGCUGAGUUCAGAAUUGGAGCGGCAUGGGACCCAUUACAUUCCCCAUUAUAGUUUGUCAUGAACCAAAGUCCAGAAAUUAGAAGACAAGUUUACUGGAUAGAAGCUUUCUACAAUAGUGCCCAGAAAUUUGCUGGGCUAUUAGAGUCACUUAGGAGUCUUCAAAAUACAAGCACAUUUCUGGGACAUACCAGGAUCUCUUCAUAGUUAUGGAGCUUUAUAGGUAUCUCCCCAUCCCCUGUGCUUUGGGAGCCUGGUCACAGAAUGCCUCUAGGGUGGUGCCUCUUAACUCAUACAUAUGGAACACAUAGAAAUUAAUAAUGCUUAAUGUUUACAUAGCACACUGGAAUGAAGGAACACAGUAGGCUGCCCUGAAGCAACCACCCAAGGGGCCUUCAGCCACUCCAGAAUCAAUAUGGCUUCCCAGCUUGCUGAGAGGAUUACUCAUAAAUGACACUGCAUAGGCCCACUAGGGAAACUUUGGUUUAAGGAAAGUGUGACCUAACUGAACCCCCCAGCUACUAAAUAUCAGAUCUGAAUAAAGCCACAUUAGCUUCUUAGAUCUGUAUUCCCUGAAUAUUUCCUUAAAGAGAAUGGAAGACAGUUGGAAAAUAGUGGAUGGAAGGUCACUCCAAAGUAAAGUGUUUUCCAUGGAUACAUCCGCAAAAAGAUAAUUUGCAUGAAGAUAAAUAUAUAAUUGGAACUUAUAUGAUAAUACCUUAUUUUAAUAAGUGUUGCUCAAAAACUUCAAGUUCGAACUCCUUACCUUGGUAUUCAAAGUUCUCCAUGUUGGUGACUAUUUUUCUAAAUGUAUCUCUUUCUUUUCCUUUUUAAAUACCCUAAAUUCCAGCUAAAAGAGCUUUCAUGUAUUUACCAAUGGAAUUUUGGUAGUUUUCAACAAAUGUUUUGUUUUAUGCUCAAACUUAUUUCACUCCUACAUUGCUCAUCCUUCAAAUUUCAUUGUUCUCAUUGAGAAUUUUCUGAUUUCUCCAGCCAGAAAUCAUCUUUCUGUCUUUUGAACUAUUACAAUCUCUUUUCUGGGCCUCUAUUCUACUUCGCACAUACUAUGUUGUAUUAUAGCUAUUUGCACAUGAUCUGGUCAGUCAGAAUCAAACAGGCUUAGGUUUAAAUUUAGUAUUUUCCACUUUUUAGAUGGAUGACCUUGUAAAUUUCCUGAGCUGUAAUUUCUUACGCCUACAUA